rfam:Gossypium hirsutum cultivar TM-1 unplaced genomic scaffold scaffold1346.1, whole genome shotgun sequence
UGUUAUUUAAAUUUCAUCCAUUUCUAAUGUUAAAAACUAGCAUGGUUGAUGGAAUAACUAAAUAGUUACACAUGGCAUGCCACGUGCACCUCAUGCUGAUGUACAAGGACCAACUUUUAAUAGUAAAAAUGGAUGGAAUUUUUAACU